GGCUGACACAUAUUUUUUUCUAGGAUAUAUUUUAUACUUGAUGGACAGUCUUUAUUACCAAUCAUAUCUUAUGUGUCAUUGAUUUAUCUUAAAAAUUAACAAAGAUAAUUUUGUAUAUUCUCAAGAUGUUGAGAAUUUGAGAUAUACAUCAUUAGUGGUUAAUUUCUGAAUGCUUUCGAUCGAAGGACCGUCACGGAGGACAGUGAUCUAUCCAUUCAAGAUUGAUGCACAGAUCACCUCUCUUAGGACAGAUGAGUCUCGAGUCUGCGGUGUAGGGACAUUGGGGUAAG
rnacentral:lncRNA from 1 species